CUAGCUCUUAGCUUCCUUCACAAGCUUAGAGGAUUACCUGCAUGAUACUGGACAUAAUUCACAUUUCAUUGCAUAUGACACAUGCAAGAAAUUGACACAAAGUGUCCUCACCCUCUCAACCACAGGGAGAACAAAAGAUGCUGUUCAUUGAUUGCACACAGUUAACAACUACGGACAAGUUCUGUCACACCAUGGAAACCACCAAUCAUCAGUCACCUAUCAAGUCUUUCAGGGGAAAAGAAGUGUCUUUUUUGUCUUCAUUCUUAGGAAAUAUUCUUACAUUAAUAAUCAAUGAACCCAUAGAUUAAUGGAAAGCCAAGAGAGAUAGUCGCUUGAAUAAUGAAAGGUGACUGCAAGAGUGAGACAGCUGGGAGAAGAGGGUUCCUCCAUGGUGGUGCCACAGAGUUCUUUGGGAACACCAUAGUACCCCCACUCAUAAUCUCAAUAGACCUCCAAAUCUGCUCCAAAUAAAUAUACCCACUGAGCAAAGCCAAGGAUGCUUUUUAACAUCUUUUCCCAGGCCCAGCCCUGUCCUAGUUACAUUG